UGUACAUAUUGUUGAUGUUCUGGUCUGCCCUCCGUGCCACCCGCUCUAGCCACGCGAAUUGUCUCUCCUCCUGAUGAGCCAGUCUCUCAUCCAACAGUUUUUGUAGCUUGGCCAUAUGAAGAUGGUUUUUGUCUUAUUUUGCCUGACCAUCAACUGAUCUCUGAAGAAUUAAGGCAAGCUCCAUCAGUUGACUGGCUGUUGUUGGAGUGACUGGUACUGUUUUUGUUGCUGAUCUUGAUGCACCUACCUCCUGGUCAUGAGUGACU
rnacentral:lncRNA from 1 species